rnacentral:rRNA from 1 species
AGAGUUUGAUCAUGGCUCAGGAUGAACGCUAGCUACAGGCUUAACACAUGCAAGUCGAGGGGCAGCAUCAUCAAAGCUUGCUUUGAUGGAUGGCGACCGGCGCACGGGUGAGUAACACGUAUCCAACCUGCCGACAACACUGGGAUAGCCUUUCGAAAGAAAGAUUAAUACCGGAUGGCAUAGUUUUCCCGCAUGGGAUAAUUAUUAAAGAAUUUCGGUUGUCGAUGGGGAUGCGUUCCAUUAGGCAGUUGGCGGGGUAACGGCCCACAAACCUACGAUGGAUAGGGGUUCUGAGAGGAAGGUCCCCCACAUUGGAACUGAGACACGGUCCAAACUCCUACGGGAGGCCA